UACCAGCACCCCGAGUGGUCGGGACGAUUAUUGGGCCUAAAGCAUCCGUAGCCGGUCCUACAAGUCUUCCGUUAAAUCCACCUGCUUAACAGAUGGGCUGCGGAAGAUACUAUAGGGCUUGGAGGCGGGAGAGGCAAGCGGUACUCAGUGGGUAGGGGUAAAAUCCUCUGAUCCAUUGAAGACCACCAGUGGCGAAGGCGGCUUGCCAGAACGCGCUCGACGGUGAGGGAUGAAAGCUGGGGGAGCAAACCGG
rnacentral:rRNA from 1 species